rnacentral:rRNA from 1 species
GAUGAACGCUACGCGUACGAGGCUUAACACAUGCAAGUCGAGGGGCAGCAGUGGGCUUAGCUUGCUAAGCCCGAUGGCGACCGGCGCACGGGCGAGUAACACGUAUCCAACCUUCCGGUAACUCCGGUAUAGCCUUUCGAAAGAAAGAUUAAUCCCGGAUAGUAUGGUGAUUCCGCAUGGUUUCUCCAUUAAAGGAUUCCGGUUACCGAUGGGGAUGCGUUCCAUUAGGCAGUUGGCGGGGUAACGGCCCACCAUGCCUACGAUGUCUAGGGGUUCUGAGAGGAAGGUCCCCCACACUGGAACUGAGACACGGUCCAG